CCUAACACAUGCAAGUCGAACGGAGGCCCCCCGGAACGAGACUUCGGUCAGGGAAGGGGAAUGCUUAGUGGCGGACGGGGUGAGUAACGCGUGAGGAACCCUGCCUUCCAUGGGGGAUAACACAUCGAAAGGUGUGCUAAUACCGCAUAACGUAUGUUUACCGCAUGGUAGAGAUACCAAAGAUUUAUUGCUGGAAGACUGGCCUCGCGUCCAAUUAGCUAGUUGGCGGGGUAAAUGCCCACCAAGGCGACGAUUGGUAGCCGGACUGAGAGGUUGAACGGCCACAUUGGGACUGAGACACGGCCCCAGACUCCUACGGGAGGCAGCAGUGGGGAAUAUUGCACAAUGGGGGAAACCCUGAUGCAGCAACGCCGCGUGAAGGAUGAAGGUUUUCGGAUUGUAAACUUCUUUUUAUUCGGGACGAAGAAAGUGACGGUACCGAAUGAAUAAGCCACCGGCUAACUACGUGCCAGCAGCCGCGGUAA
rnacentral:rRNA from 1 species